UCGGAAACGGGGGCUAAUACCGGAUAGGACCACUGGUUGCAUGGCUGGUGGUGGAAAGAUUUUUCGGCUUGGGAUGGGCUCGCGGCCUAUCAGCUUGUUGGUGGGGUGAUGGCCUACCAAGGCGACGACGGGUAGCCGGCCUGAGAGGGCGACCGGCCACACUGGGACUGAGACACGGCCCAGACUCCUACGGGAGGCAGCAGUGGGGAAUAUUGCACAAUGGGCGGAAGCCUGAUGCAGCGACGCCGCGUGAGGGAUGACGGCCUUCGGGUUGUAAACCUCUUUCGGUAGGGACGAAGCGUUUUGUGACGGUACCUACAGAAGAAGCGCCGGCCAACUACGUGCCAGCAGCCGCGGUAAGACGUAGGGCGCGAGCGUUGUCCGGAUUUAUUGGGCGUAAAGAGCUCGUAGGCGGCUUGUUGCGUCAGCUGUGAAAGCCCAUGGCUUAACUGUGGGUUGGCAGCUGAUACGGGCAGGCUAGAGUUCGGUAGGGGAGACUGGAAUUCCUGGUGUAGCGGUGAAAUGCGCAGAUAUCAGGAGGAACACCGGUGGCGAAGGCGGGUCUCUGGGCCGAUACUGACGCUGAGGAGCGAAAGCGUGGGGAGCGAACAGGAUUAGAUACCCUGGUAGUCCACGCUGUAAACG
rnacentral:rRNA from 1 species